GACGAACGCUGGCGGCGUGCUUAACACAUGCAAGUCGAGCGGUAAGGCCUUUCGGGGUACACGAGCGGCGAACGGGUGAGUAACACGUGGGUGAUCUGCCCUGCACUUCGGGAUAAGCCUGGGAAACUGGGUCUAAUACCGGAUAUGACUUCAGGUUGCAUGACUUGGGGUGGAAAGAUUUAUCGGUGCAGGAUGGGCCCGCGGCCUAUCAGCUUGUUGGUGGGGUAAUGGCCUACCAAGGCGACGACGGGUAGCCGACCUGAGAGGGUGACCGGCCACACUGGGACUGAGACACGGCCCAGACUCCUACGGGAGGCAGCAGUGGGGAAUAUUGCACAAUGGGCGAAAGCCUGAUGCAGCGACGCCGCGUGAGGGAUGACGGCCUUCGGGUUGUAAACCUCUUUCAGCAGGGACGAAGCGCAAGUGACGGUACCUGCAGAAGAAGCACCGGCUAACUACGUG
rnacentral:rRNA from 1 species